rfam:Branchiostoma floridae genomic scaffold BRAFLscaffold_243, whole genome shotgun sequence.
CUCCCUCUGCGAUGGGGGUAGUUUCUCCACUACUUCAGUGCUGUGGUGGGUGAAGUAGUAGUUGAACUAUCUUCUUCACAGUGGCUC